rnacentral:rRNA from 1 species
GACGAACGCUGGCGGCGUGCUUAACACAUGCAAGUCGAACGGAAAGGCCCUGCUUUUGUGGGGUGCUCGAGUGGCGAACGGGUGAGUGACACGUGAGUAACCUGCCCUUGACUUUGGGAUAACUUCAGGAAACUGGGGCUAAUACCGGAUAGGAGCUCCUGCUGCAUGGUGGGGGUUGGAAAGUUUCGGCGGUUGGGGAUGGACUCGCAGCUUAUCAGCUUGUUGGUGGGGUAGUGGCUUACCAAGGCUUUGACGGGUAGCCGGCCUGAGAGGGUGACCGGCCACAUUGGGACUGAGAUACGGCCCAGACUCCUACGGGAGGCAGCAGUGGGGAAUAUUGCACAAUGGGCGGAAGCCUGAUGCAGCAACGCCGCGUGCGGGAUGACGGCCUUCGGGUUGUAAACCGCUUUCGCCUGUGACGAAGCGUGAGUGACGGUAAUGGGUAAAGAAGCACCGGCUAACUACGUG